UUUCCUGACAGAGCACAUCGUGCAGUCCCGAGCUUGGGAACUGCUGAACGCUGAGCUUCCUUCUCUUUACCCAGUAGGGCAUUGCAUUGCUGCCCUUUGUACCAUUGAUGAGGUAGUCUAUAACUUUGCCAGGCUUGGGAACUGCUGAACGCUGAGCUUCCUUCUCUUUACCCAGUAGGACAUUGCAUUGCUGCCCUUUGUACCAUUGAUGAGGUAGUCUAUAACUUUGCCAGGCUUGGGAACUGCUGAACGCUGAGCUUCCUUCUCUUUACCCAGUAGGGCAUUGCAUUGCUGCCCUUUGUACCAUUGAUGAGGUAGUCUAUAACUUUGCCAGGCUUGGGAACUGCUGAACGCUGAGCUUCCUUCUCUUUACCCAGUAGGGCAUUGCAUUGCUGCCCUUUGUACCAUUGAUGAGGUAGUCUAUAACUUUGCCAGGCUUGGGAACUGCUGAACGCUGAGCUUCCUUCUCUUUACCCAGUAGGGCAUUGCAUAAUUGCUGCCCUUUGUACCAUUGAUGAGGUAGUCUAUAACUUUCCUACCCUUGUUCCUGUGGAUUGUUUUGCUCGUUGAAUUAGUCAACGGGAACUUUUCUUCACAAAACUUAAGAAACUUUGCUCUGUUCACCUGAGCAUCAGCCAUGUUUGAAAAUGACCGGCUUCAAGUUGGCGCCAUAGACAUAUAAUAAAACCCCAUCGUUUGUUUUCUUACCUCAUGGAUUUCCUGACAGAGCACAUCGUGUAAUCCCAGGCUUGGGAACUGCUGAACACUGAGUUUCCUUCUCUUUACCCAGUAGGGCAUUGCAUUGCUGCCCUUUGUACCAUUGAUGAGGUAGUCUAUAACUUUGCCAGGCUUGGGAACUGCUGAACGCUGAGCUUCCUUCUCUUUACCCAGUAGGGCAUUGCAUU